AUUGAACGCUGGCGGCAGGCCUAACACAUGCAAGUCGAGCGGAGCGGCGGACGGGGGAGGAAUGCCUAGGAAUCUGCCUGGUAGUGGGGGAUAGCGUCCGGAAACGGGCGCGAAUACCGCAUACUCUCGGAAGAGCCUAGGCCGGAUUAGCUAGUUGGGGGGGUAAAGGCAUACCAAGGCGACGAUCCGUAACUGGUCUGAGAGGAUGAUCAGUCACACUGGAACGGAGACACGGUCCAGACUCCUACGGGAGGCAGCAGUGGGGAAUAGUGGACAAUGGGCGAAAGCCUGAUCCAGCCAUGCCGCGUGUGUGAAGAAGGUCUUCGGAUUGUAAAGCACUUUAAGUUGGGAGGCGUUACCAGCAGAAUAAGCACCGGCUAACUCCGUGCCAGCAGCCGCGGUAAUUC
rnacentral:rRNA from 1 species